rnacentral:lncRNA from 1 species
GAUUCCUCCUCGGCACCUCAUUCUUGUCUAUCAUAUAGUAUGGGAAAGGUCUAAGCGUGACAUGAAGAAGCAAGGGAGGAAUCUAGGUGAUGUCAUGAAUCAAUUGGAGGGGGUGCGUUUCAGACUUAGAUGUCAAGUUGUCUCUCUCUCUCUUUAAGGGGGUUUAAAAGACCUCGUCGUGGAGGCUGCGUACUCACCUCUCGGUGUCCUGGUGG